GAUGAAGAACGUAGUGAAAUGCGAUAAGUAAUGUGAAUUGCAGAAUUCAGUGAAUCAUCGAAUCUUUGAACGCAUCUUGCGCUCCUUGGUAUUCCGAGGAGCAUGCCUGUUUGAGUGUCAUGAAAUUCUCAACCUUUUCAGCUUUCUUUGUUGAUCAGGCUUGGAUGUGGGAGUAUGCGGGCUUCUCAGAAGUCGGCUCUCCUGAAAUGCAUUAGCGGGACCUUUGUUGCCUGGCUUUGGUGUGAUAAUUAUCUACGCCAUUGUAGUCAAGCAGCUUAAAAUGAGGUUUCAGCUUCUAACCGUCUCCCCUGAGACAACUUUUUGACAAUUUGACCUCAAAUCAGGUAGGACUACCCGCUGAACUUAAGCAUAUCAAUAAGCGGAGGA
rnacentral:misc_RNA from 1 species